UAGCUCAGUUGGUUGGAGCAUGGUGCUGAUAACAUCAAAGUUGCGGGUUUGAUCCCCGU
rnacentral:tRNA from 1 species